UGAGUAACGCGUGAGAAUCUGCCUUCAGGUCUGGGACAACCACUGGAAACGGUGGCUAAUACCGGAUGUGCCGCAAGGUGAAAGGUUAACUGCCUGAAGAUGAGCUCGCGUCUGAUUAGCUAGUAGGUAGUGUAAAGGACUACCUAGGCGACGAUCAGUAGCUGGUCUGAGAGGACGAUCAGCCACACUGGGACUGAGACACGGCCCAGACUCCUACGGGAGGCAGCAGUGGGGAAUUUUCCGCAAUGGGCGAAAGCCUGACGGAGCAAUACCGCGUGAGGGAGGAAGGCUCUUGGGUCGUAAACCUCUUUUCUCAGGGAAGAACACAAUGACGGUACCUGAGGAAUAAGCAUCGGCUAACUCCGUGCCAGCAGCCGCGGUAAUACGGAGGAUGCAAGCGUUAUCCGGAAUGAUUGGGCGUAAAGCGUCCGCAGGUGGCUAUGUAAGUCUGCUGUUAAAGAGUCUAGCUCAACUAGAUAAGAGCAGUGGAAACUACAUGGCUAGAGUGCGUUCGGGGCAGAGGGAAUUCCUGGUGUAGCGGUGAAAUGCGUAGAGAUCAGGAAGAACACCGGUGGCGAAGGCGCUCUGCUAGGCCCGCAACUGACACUGAGACG
rnacentral:rRNA from 1 species